ACGCUGGCGGCGUGCUUAACACAUGCAAGUCGAGCGGGGAUACUGAAUGGAAAGCUUCGGCCGGAAGUUUGGUAUUCUAGCGGCGGACGGGUGAGUAACGCGUGAGCAAUCUGUCCCAGACAGGGGGAUAACACUUGGAAACAGGUGCUAAUACCGCAUAAGACCACGAUCUCGCAUGGGAUUGAGGUAAAGGAGAAAUCCGGUCUGGGGUGAGCUCGCGUCCGAUUAGCUAGUUGGUGAGGUAAACGGCCCACCAAGGCGACGAUCGGUAGCCGACCUGAGAGGGUGAUCGGCCACAUUGGAACUGAGACACGGUCCAAACUCCUACGGGAGGCAGCAGUGGGGAAUAUUGGGCAAUGGGCGCAAGCCUGACCCAGCAACGCCGCGUGAGUGAAGAAGGUUUUCGGAUUGUAAAGCUCUGUCCUUGGUGACGAAGAAAGUGACGGUAGCCAAGGAGGAAGCCCCGGCUAACUACGUG
rnacentral:rRNA from 1 species